rnacentral:rRNA from 1 species
GAUGAACGCUGGCGGCGUGCCUAAUACAUGCAAGUCGAGCGAACGGACGAGAAGCUUGCUUCUCUGAUGUUAGCGGCGGACGGGUGAGUAACACGUGGAUAACCUACCUAUAAGACUGGGAUAACUUCGGGAAACCGGAGCUAAUACCGGAUAAUAUUUUGAACCGCAUGGUUCAAAAGUGAAAGACGGUCUUGCUGUCACUUAUAGAUGGAUCCGCGCUGCAUUAGCUAGUUGGUAAGGUAACGGCUUACCAAGGCAACGAUGCAUAGCCGACCUGAGAGGGUGAUCGGCCACACUGGAACUGAGACACGGUCCAGACUCCUACGGGAGGCAGCAGUAGGGAAUCUUCCGCAAUGGGCGAAAGCCUGACGGAGCAACGCCGCGUGAGUGAUGAAGGUCUUCGGAUCGUAAAACUCUGUUAUUAGGGAAGAACAUGUGUGUAGUAACUGUGCACAUCUUGACGGUACCUAAUCAGAAAGCCACGGCUAACUACGUG